UUCAUUUGCACUCAAGGGCACUCUUGGAGCUUUCUCUGGUCACCAACUCUCUUCUUAGGCCUCCUAAUCCUUCUUAGGACUCUUGUAAGUGUCCUUAUCCAUGUUUAAUCCUUUCUAGCUUAGCUAAUUAAGUAAAAGUCAAACCGUCGUAAUUAAGGUUUGACUUCGUGAUUAAGCAUAAUGUACUUUGUCUAAUCACGAAUUAAAGAUACCUUUAGGAAGGUAAAUAAGUGGGUAACAAACCCUUAAAAGGGUGUUUCCAGAUUCCCACUCUAAACAUGCUAAUUGUCGAGUCAAAGCUUCUUAUAAAAAGUCAACAGAACGCUUAAUUGCGAAUUAACGCAUAAUUAGUAAUGUAGGGUGCAUGCAACCUGUUUAAUCAUUAAUAUAACUUUGUAAAUAAUAUAAGAACAUGUUCCAACAUGUUCAACUCGACAAUUUCCUGUUUAGACCCGGUUCGGAACCGAAAGUCGCAUAGUUUGACUUUCGCUUUGACUUUCGAUUCUGACCCGUUUUAGUCAAGUUUAGGAUUUCCUUAGAGCUUCUUUUGAACCUAUAUUCAUGUUAGUAUAACUCCCUGAGGUUAUGCAACUCGGUUCAUAAGAUAUCCUAUUCAUAUGCAUGUUUCCGCUAAUAGCUUAUAUGUUGACCAUUAUGCCCUUUCGACCUUAAAAGGGAUUUUAGAAAAUAUGAAAGAAUAGACACCUUAGCUACUGAAUUAUAAACUUGCACCCAAAAUUUGAAGUCAGUUUGAGGUCUAGAUUGAGAGAUAUGCUUGAUAGCGUAAUUAAGAGCUUCUUUACUAGUCAAAUGGCGUAAAUUAUGUAUAGCCUAUUAAAACCCAAAUUUUUAUGCCAAACCUUCUACCCUCUGUUAUAAAAUAAUAUUUUGGGAUUUUUGGGAAUUUUUAUUUAUUUUUAGGCUGAGCUUAACCUAGUGUUCUAAGAUUUAUUCGGUUUAUACCGGUUAUACCCUUUUUAGCCAUAAAAUGAGUUUUACAAAUCCUUUUGACCUCAAACCAAUUUCUACUGAUUAGUUAUGAUAAAUAAAUUACUUUGAGCCUUCUGGAAUAUUAAAAAUAUCAGCUUUUUACAGAAAACCCGGAAAUGGCCCAAAUCGACCUUUUUAGGCAUUCUUAGCGUAUAAGUGCACUCUAGAACCCCAUUAAGCUUAAGGGUUUGAACCUACUGAUAUAAUUAGUGAAUUUUUAUAUUUUAAACAGUAGGCAAAUGUUUUGAACUCAGGUUACCAUUUUUUAACCCUUUUACACCUUGUAAAAUGACCAAAACGCCCUUAUGAGGCAUAGUUUUGGUUUAAAACCAUUUGGGGCAUAAUGGAAGAAACUUGUAUUUGGCUCUCGUGGUUACUCGUUACGCACUAUACGCGUUCGGAUCGGCUUAUGUGGCUAGUUUAGCCAUAUUAGCCGAAACGGGUCAACCCUUACCUUUUCGGUCUCAAAAUCCAGAAUGUGAUUAUGUUACCCAUAUUAAACAAGUAUGCAAGCUUGUUGGGUCAAAACCACAUUCUAAAACGGUCGUCGCCUUAUUGUGCGUUAAAGACCGUAGUCUUCCUUUAUAACUAACCGGUCAAAGCUUAAGACUCGUUAGGAUUCUAAUAGGUUAUUAAAACCUUAAUUUCCAGAUCUAGGAGCCCAGUAAAAGCUACGUGCACUCGUUAUAUUUGGUUUAUACUUGCUCAGGUAAAUACGUUUAACUUAUUUUCCCUAUACGGGCUUGGGGUACGGUAUAUAAAAUACCGCUUGGUCGGGAAGUUGACCAUAACCGGUCUUGGUUAUGUGCAGUCAAAUGAACCCGUUUAAAAAUGCUGUUUUGUUUGUUUAAAGCCUUUGGGGGCUUAAUGACCAUGUCCCGGAUAUCCUUGGCAUCAUUCAAAGAAUGGCCACGACCUUAGCACUCGGGUGUAGGCGUACACCCGUAGCGCUGUAUAACUUGUAUAAUCGUCGGUACGAGAGAAGUCUCGCGGCGAAAUUAUAUUAAGUGGUGUGUCUAUUAAUCCUUAACCCGGUACGCACCCGGGCUACUGAACGCAGAAUAAACAUGUAAUUCUUUUACAAGAUUAUUAAGUAAAUAAUUAUCCCAAGUUAUAAAAUGUUUUGUGCUACGGCAUUUAAAUCAAUUUUUAAAACCUUUUUAAAAUGAGUCAGUUAAAUUGUAUUUACUAGUGCAAACUGACGUAUUUUUCCCAAAAAGACUAAGUGCAGGUACUAAGCGUAAUAGGCUGGUCACUCCUUAAGCAUCCAUAGAAGUCUCGCAAGCUUAGGAUGCAUGAAGUCUGUUGAGAUGACGUUUCCUUUUUAUUCUGAUUCCGCCUGUGGAUUCUAUUUCGACAAUAUGUGAUACUUUGAUAUUACAAUAUUAUUAAGUUGAAAUAAAUCUAUUUUGCUUCCGCUGU
rnacentral:lncRNA from 1 species